CAGUCGCCGCGGUAAUACGAAGGGGGCUAGCGUUGUUCGGAAUUACUGGGCGUAGAGCGCGUGUAGGCGGGUCCUUAGGUCAGGGGUGAAAUGCCAAGGCUCAACCUUGGAACUGCCUUUGAUACUGGGGAUCUUGAGUCCGGGAGAGGUGAGUGGAACUGCGAGUGUAGAGGUGAAAUUCGUAGAUAUUCGCAAGAACACCAGUGGCGAAGGCGGCUCACUGGCCCGGAACUGACGCUGAGACGCGAAAGCGUGGGGAGCAAACAGGAUUAGAUACCCGAGUAGUCCCUGUCUCUUAUAC
rnacentral:rRNA from 1 species